rnacentral:rRNA from 1 species
CGUGCAGGCGGUUUGUUAAGUUGGAUGUGAAAGCUCCCGGCUAAACUGGGAGAGGUCGUUCAAAACUGGCAGACUAGAGUGUGGUAGAGGGGAGUGGAAUUCCGAGUGUAGCGGUAAAAUGCAUAGAUAUUCGGAAGAACACCAGUGGCGAAGGCGACUUCCUGGACCACAACUGACGCUCAGACGCGAAAGCCAGGGUAGCAAACG